ACACUCCAACACAUUUUGGGUAAAUCAUGACAUUAAGACAUCAAAGAAAAAACAUUUUAAGGAAUUGUCACUAAGCUAUUGAAACAGUAAAUUACUCUCUGGAAUAUAAAAACACAUACCAACAUUUUCACAAAGCAAAUUGGAGCCAUCAAUGAUAUGCAACAGAUGUGGAGAAUACAUGUACAGAUCGUUAACUUAACUUGCCAUUAGGUGUCACUGUUGUUCUACACAGACAGCAGCAUAACAAUUCAUCAAUGUACUGGAGGCUCUAAAUGACAGUGACUGCAGAGACAAAGGGAGCUGAAAGAACCAGCAAAGGUGGUGGACGCCUUCAGCCUCCCUGCUUAUAGCAUCCUCUGCAGGGCAAGAGGAAGAAGUUGAGGCAUAACAGCAAAAGCACUUGAGAAGCUGCCUUGCAGUGAGGUGAAAGGGAGGUGAGAAGAACAAAAGGAGCUGCUCCUUAGCCAGACCUCUAACUCAGUGGUUCUAAUCUCAACCUUUUCCAUAUCAGGACCUUCUUUUCCCUCCCUCAGGACAUCCCUCCAAUCUAGCCAGGGGUCCAAGCAGCAUUAAUGUCUCUUUGGAUUUCCAUUUUGAAAUGUGUGUGUACAGGGAAAGCAGUCAGUUCUAGUCCAUCUCCUCCUAUCCCACCUCCCUCUCAAAACACUGACCUUGCAUACAAUUUGAUGAGAAUAAGUAUUUCAUUGCUGUGAACAUGCAUUUCUCAAUGUUACCAGACAAUGUGACCUCUGUAAAGGAUAUAAUGUUUGCUAACUUAAACAUAGACGGAAGACUGCGCUAACUCACUGAAGACAGAAUGGGAGAAGUAAUAUAAAGAGACUUGGAGAUGUUGUCAA